CCUACGGGCGGCAGCAGUCGAGAAUCAUUCACAAUGGGGGAAACCCUGAUGGUGCGACGCCGCGUGGGGGAAUGAAGGUCUUCGGAUUGUAAACCCCUGUCAUGUGGGAGCAAAUUAAAAAGAUAGUACCACAAGAGGAAGCGACGGCUAACUCUGUGCCAGCAGCCGCGGGAAUACAGAGGUCUCAAGCGUUGUUCGGAAUCACUGGGCGUAAAGCGUGCGUAGGCUGUUUCGUAAGUCGUGUGUGAAAGGCGCGGGCUCAACCCGCGGACGGCACAUGAUACUGGGAGACUAGAGUAAUGGAGGGGGAACCGGAAUUCUCGGUGUAGCAGUGAAAUGCGUAGAUAUCGAGAGGAACACUCGUGGCGAAGGCGGGUUCCUGGACAUUAACUGACGCUGAGGCACGAAGGCCAGGGGAGCGAAAGGGAUUAGAUACCCUUGUAGUC
rnacentral:rRNA from 1 species